NNNNNNNNNNNUGAUUUAACUCAGUGUGGCUGAAUUAUAAUCUACAUUUCAUGGAUUUCAAAGGCCUUUUUUUUUUUUUUUUUUUACAUUUUCGUAUCUCGGUACUCAGAAUGUUUCUUACAAUUGAUGUAUUAUGAGUAUGGCUGAUGUUUUGUUUCUUUCCUAGGAGUAUAUGAUAUAAUGAAAGUUACAACUUACGAAUGAGGACAUCUUAGAUUCAACAAAAUACUAUAAGUUCUUUAGUCUUUUCAAAUUUAACACCCCCCUCCCUGGGAAAAUCCACAGGCCUUAAUGAAUUACUGCAGUCAUCAGGAGAGGGAAGUAUUUAAUUUUCUAGCAUGGACUAGAUUCCAGAUGUUUCUAUAUUGCCAACACAUGAACCAUCUUUCCGGUGGGCUUCGUUUUUCUUCUCAAGACUCAAAAUGGCGGGCUGUAAAACACAUUACUUUGUAAGUGGAACUGCCUAUGAAAAACAUAGAGAUAUAAAAUUUUUCUAAUAAAACAAGUCAAUCUCUAAAACAUUUUAAUUAACUGCCAAAACUAUUACAGGACAGGAGCAAAACCAAUGCUGAUACAAUUCUUAAUCAAAUCGAGUACAAUCUUAUUACUCACAGACACAAUCCAAAGAGACUUGUUGGUGCUAAAAUCAACUUCAUGCCACAUAGUCCUUCCUGACUGACCCCAUGAAACUGCAAGUUCUCCUUUUGUGUGUGGGUUUUGUUUUUGUUUUUCUGAAGAUUUAUUUAAUUGUUUGAAAGAGAGCACAAGAGUUGGGGAGAGAGGCAUAAGGAAAGAGAAACUCCUCAUCAGAUGCCCCAUUGAGCACAGAGCCUGACUCAGGACUCGAUCUCACGACCCUGAGAUCCCAACCUGAGCUGAAAUCAAGAGUGGGCUGCUUAACCUACUGAGCAACCCCACAAGUCAUGUUGUGACUUUGCAACCAUGUCCUGUGCUCUGAGUGGCCACAGAGAUGCCAGAACCAAUGGGGAAAACUCAGGAGCUAAUUCAGGAAGACUUCAUUGUUCUUCAGAUGACUUUCAAGCAUGUCAAAUGUUAGUGUUUGCAUCAUUUUAGAAGUUUGCUUGGAUUAGUGUCGUCAGAUUGGAUCUGCAGCCUCCCAGUUGUGAAAACAGAAAGCAGGACUCCACAUAGGUCUAACACUCCCUGCAGGUUACAUCCCACACCCCUGCAGCUCCCCCACCUUCCAGUGCAGACUCAGGAGCUGCUCAUCCAGUAGGAAAGACACUGGUUGGAGAGAGCAAAAGCCCCUGCUUCUGCCGUUAGCUGGCUGGAGACCUUGAAUGAGACGCAGUAUUUCUAGGCUUCCGUUGAAAG
rnacentral:lncRNA from 1 species